rnacentral:rRNA from 1 species
UAAGCAUAUCAAUAAGCGGAGGAAAAGAAACCAACAGGGAUUGCCUCAGUAACGGCGAGUGAAGCGGCAACAGCUCAAAUUUGAAAUCUGGCCCCCAGGGCCCGAGUUGUAAUUUGCAGAGGAUGCUUUGGGCGCGGCGCCUUCCGAGUUCCCUGGAACGGGACGCCACAGAGGGUGAGAGCCCCGUCUGGUUGGACGCCUAGCCUGUGUAAAGCUCCCUCGACGAGUCGAGUAGUUUGGGAAUGCUGCUCUAAAUGGGAGGUAUAUGUCUUCUAAAGCUAAAUACCGGCCAGAGACCGAUAGCGCACAAGUAGAGUGAUCGAAAGAUGAAAAGCACUUUGAAAAGAGAGUUAAAAAGUACGUGAAAUUGUUGAAAGGGAAGGGCUCGCGACCAGACUUGGGUCUGGGGAUCACCCGGCGUUCUUCGCCGGGGCACUCCCCCGGCACAGGCCAGCAUCGGUUCGGCCCGGGGGAUAAAGGCGGCGGGAACGUGGCUCUUCGGAGUGUUAUAGCCCGCCGCGCAAUACCCUGGGGCGGACCGAGGACCGCGCAUCUGCAUG